CAGACGUGCCGGCGGAUAAUCAGUCUUUCGGGUGCGAUUCUGUGGGGCGUGAGGAGCUUAACCGCCUUCAUGUCUUGCAUAUUCGUGCACAUUUGGUGUACUUGUCCGUGUGGUGGGUUAACAUCAAUUUCGGUCGUCAUAAAAUGACUGGAGGAAUGUAGCUUUGGUCUCGUAUCGAAGUGUUAUAGACUCUGGUAGAUGUGACGAUUGGGAUUGGAGGAUUGCAUCGGAUACCCUUCGGGGCUACUCGUCUGAUCUCUGAAGGUAGCUCCGGUNCCGAAGCGUGCUUACUGUCA
rnacentral:rRNA from 1 species